CGGGGCGUAGCGCAGUCUGGUAGCGCACUUGUCUGGGGGACAAGUGGUCGCUGGUUCAAAUCCAGCCGUCCCGA
rfam:Desulfotignum phosphitoxidans DSM 13687 Dpo_3c, whole genome shotgun sequence.